CCUACGGGGGGCAGCAGUGGGGAAUAUUGGGCAAUGGAGGCAACUCUGACCCAGCAAUGCCGCGUGAGUGAUGACUGUAAUUUUGUUUUAAAGCUCUUUUCUUUGGGACGCAUAAAUGACGGUACCAAAGGAAUAAGCCCCGGCUAACUACGUGCCAGCAGCCGCGGUACUACGUAGGGGGCAAGCGUUGUUCGGAAUGACUGGGCGUAACGGGUGUGUAGGUGUUGUGAUAAGUUAGAUGUGUAAUACCCAGGGCUUAACUCGGGUGCUGCAUCUAAAACUGUUAGUCUUGAGUACUGGAGAGGAUAGUGGAAUGCGUAGUGUAGCGGUGGAAUGCGUAGAUAUCAGGAGGAACACCAGUGGCGAAGGCGACUAUCUGGAGAGCAACUGACACUGAGGCACGAAAGCGUGGGGAGCAAACAGGAUUAGAUACCCGAGUAGUC
rnacentral:rRNA from 1 species